rnacentral:rRNA from 1 species
AUUGAACGCUGGCGGCAUGCCUUACACAUGCAAGUCGAACGGCAGCACGGGAGCAAUCCUGGUGGCGAGUGGCGAACGGGUGAGUAAAGUAUCGGAACGUGCCCAGUCGUGGGGGAUAACGUAGCGAAAGUUACGCUAAUACCGCAUACGAUCUAUGGAUGAAAGCGGGGGAUCGCAAGACCUCGCGCGAUUGGAGCGGCCGAUAUCAGAUUAGGUAGUUGGUGGGGUAAAGGCUCACCAAGCCGACGAUCUGUAGCUGGUCUGAGAUGACGACCAGCCACACUGGGACUGAGACGCGGCCCAGACUCCUACGGGAGGCAGCAGUGGGGAAUUUUGGACAAUGGGCGAAAGCCUGAUCCAGCCAUUCCGCGUGCAGGAUGAAGGCCUUCGGGUUGUAAACUGCUUUUGUACGGAACGAAAAGGUUUGGCCUAAUAAGCUGAGCUCAUGACGGUACCGUAAGAAUAAGCACCGGCUAACUACGUGCCAGCCGCCGCAGUAA